rnacentral:rRNA from 1 species
AGAGUUUGAUCCUGGCUCAGGACGAACGCUGGCGGCGUGCCUAACACAUGCAAGUCGAACGGAGAAUUUCGAGAAGCUUGCUUUACGAAGUUCUUAGUGGCCGAGUGGGUAACCUACCCAUAAAGCCGGGACAACCCUUGGAAACGAGGGCUAAUACCGGAUAAUCUUUAAUCUUGGCAUCAAGGUUUAAGAAAAGGUGGCCUCUGUGUAUGCUACCGAUUAUGGAUGGACCCGCGUCUGAUUAGCUAGUUGGUGGGGUAAAGGCCUACCAAGGCGACGAUCAGUAGCCGGCCUGAGAGGGUGAACGGCCACACUGGGACUGAGACACGGCCCAGACUCCUACGGGAGGCAGCAGUGGGGAAUCUUCCGCAAUGGACGAAAGUCUGACGGAGCAACGCCGCGUGUAUGAUGAAGGUCUUCGGGUUGUAAACUGCUGUAAGUUAUUGAGAAGAUAUGACGGUACCCAAGGAGGAAGCCCCGGCUAACUACGUGCCAGCAGCCGCGGUAAUACGUAGGGGGCAAGCGUUGUCCGGAAUUAUUGGGCGUAAAGGGUGCGUAGGAGGGUUUAUAAGCGUGAGGUGAAAGGCAAUGGCUCAACUAUUGUAAGCAUACUAAACUUAAGAGCCUGAGUGCAGGAGAGGGAAGUGGAAUUCCUAGUGUAGCGGUGAAAUGCGUAGAUAUUAGGAGGAACACCAGUGGCGAAGGCGACUUCCUGGCCUGUAACUGACACUGAGGCGCGAAAGCGUGGGGAUCAAACAGGAUUAGAUACCCUGGUAGUCCACGCCGUAAACGAUGAGUGCUAGGUGUCGGGGGUAUCGACCCCCUCGGUGCCACAGCUAACGCAAUAAGCACUCCGCCUGGGGAGUACGGUCGCAAGACUGAAACUCAAAGGAAUUGACGGGGGCCCGCACAAGCGGUGGAGUAUGUGGUUUAAUUCGACGCAACGCGAAGAACCUUACCAAGGCUUGACAUCCUGUGACAGCUAUAGAAAUAUAGUCUUCUUAGUUUACUAAGACACAGAGACAGGUGGUGCAUGGUUGUCGUCAGCUCGUGUCGUGAGAUGUUGGGUUAAGUCCCGCAACGAGCGCAACCCCUACAGCUAGUUGCCAGCACGUAAUGGUGGGAACUCUAGCAGAACUGCCGUUGACAAAACGGAGGAAGGUGGGGAUGACGUCAAAUCAUCAUGCCCCUUAUGUCCUGGGCUACACACGUACUACAGUGGCCGGUACAGAGGGAAGCGAAGCCGCGAGGUGGAGCAAACCUGAGAAAGCCGGUCCCAGUUCGGAUUGUAGUCUGCAACUCGACUACAUGAAGUCGGAAUCGCUAGUAAUCGCAGGUCAGCAUACUGCGGUGAAUACGUUCCCGGGCCUUGUACACACCGCCCGUCACACCACGAAAGCCUGCAACACCCGAAGCCGGUGAGCUAACUCGUAAGAGAGGCAGCCGUCGAAGGUGGGGCCGGUGAUUGGGGUGAAGUCGUAACAAGGUAGCC